AACAGAGUGCACGUGUCCUCAGGUGAACAGGUCAGCACCAGGCCAGACAUAUCCUGAAAAGGAAACAGGAAUUGGAACAUGAGGGACCCACCCCAUAUGUGUGGGAAAUAUAUUUUGACAGUUCAGCACUGCUGUUUCCGCUUGUUUUGACUGUGGUGAACAUAGGGAGUUCUGGAUGACUUCAGGUCUUCUGUUCUUGGUAACAAUGAACAGAGGUUCCUCCACACACUGUAAGACAUGGAUGUAUAGGCAUUAGUUUGGACAGUUUCAACAGAUUUUAUGUAAGUUUGUGCCACGAACCUGACUCAGAUUCAUUACACAUUUCUCUGUAGGUUUCCUUCUGGGUUUCAUUUUCACAGGUCACUCAUAACAGCCACUUGAACGCAAAUCAUGAAUAAAGAUCACUACAGACUAAGCACAUCCAUUCCAAAAAUCCAUCUGCCUCCCAGUACAGGAGGUCCAAAAAUCAGCUAGACUAGUGAUGGGACAAAACAGGACCAGAGUACCCAUGACUGCAACAGGCCACUUUUAAAAGGCCAUUAUAAAAGUGAUAUAUGAUGUUUCAAGAGCAGUGUACCCCAGAGAUGCCAUGUCCAAUUUCUGUGGUAACAGAUUUUUCCCCUCUACAAUAUUCUGGUUCCUUGCACUCAAGUUGUCUUCAUCUCUCAGCCCUGUGAGCAGAAGCAGAUGAGAAGAAGGUUCCCUCAUACCUGCCCCACCAUUACUGUCUCUACAGGGAAAGGAAGUUUUCCAUCACUGAGCACCCAGAGGCUUUGCAGGGCUCUUUAUAGCCACCUCUGCAUCCCACGCCUCACAGCGCACAUAUGGCAGGAGAGAGGGUGGCAGUGCCUGUGGGGGCUCAGAUUCAGGUGCUGCCAGCUGCUGGCUGAGGGCAGCAGACAGACCAGCCACCUUCCCUAGGGACUGGGAGUGUCCCCAAGGGUGUCCCUGCAUCUGAGAGCUGCACUGGUCCCCACCCUCUGCAUCAAACUGGUGCUGCUUUAUCAACAAGUGAGGGCAACCCAGCAGUUACGCCUUUGGAGUCCUGUGUGUUCUCAAACACAACUGUCUAACUCUGCAAUAAAAAGCUGAACUCCUUUCCUUACAAAAAACAGGCCAGAGAGUGGGAAGUGGGGGCUUGGAAAGAGAAAGAGAGUGGGCGAGAGAUUAAACAGCCUCUGGUAUUCAAUGCCUGUGGAUGACAGUUUCAAAAAUAUUUCUAGGGAUAUACUUGGCAGGCACUUGCCUGCAAUUUCCUUCUAGAUACAUAUAAACAGCAAAAGCACACAAACGGCCUCUUACUCAAAGAGAUAUAAUUAUCUUAAUUGUUGUACACGUACAAACACAGUUUAAUAACUGCCUAGGACACCUCUCCCACCAGUGCCCCUUCCUCUUCCCCACAAGCCAUACGACCUGUCCUCACCACACAAACAGGCCAGACUAGAGCCCAGGCCACUGGCACAAGAAGCUGAAGAGGUUUGUGUUUCCCCAGUCCUGUCACAGCACCUACACACGUCAGGUUUCAGAAAGGGUCCUGGAAUCCCAGGAGAUGUAGGGGCUGAGUUCCCAAUGCUUUUUAAAGAGUUGUGAGUGCCUCUUUACUCCAAGAUCCUCUGAAAAUCCUGCAGUCACAGACCCACAAAAAAAAUAUUAACCAAGUGACAAUUUCCUCUAAUGUGUAGAGGCAAUUCCCCAGGGGCAAAACACUAAGUUACAAAGAAGAGUAUAGACAGACGGAGGGGAGAUUGAGAAGUAGGAAAAGAAAAUGACGAGAGGAAAGGGUGGAAAGAACAAAAACAGGGAGGCAAAGGAGAGUACAGGGAACAAUAGGCAUACAAGCUGGAAAGGACUGUCAUUGUCUUGCUGUUGCUUUCUGCUGGGUUUGAUACCUCUUUCUCUGUUUUUGUUUUGUUUUGUUUUUCUUUCCCUGAAAAUCAAUGAAACAUUUUUAUUUUGAGGGAGAAGGAAUGGGGAGGUCUGAGGCAGAACGACUUCUGCCAGCUCUGUGGUCCCAGCCAGUUUUGUGGGUACUGUGCACUGUCAGCCCUUCCUGCUGCACUGGAUUUGACACCAAGCUCAGGAGGCUGGUGGGGAGCAAGAGUGAGAGGGUAGGGAAGAAGGAAUAGCAAAGGAAGGGAAGAACAAGGUGCACAGGCCUUGGAAGGAGGUCCUUGCAUGGGGGAGGAUAAUCAAGCAGAUGAAAAGCACAGAGGAAGAGACUUGUUGGCCUGGCCAUGCAGCAGCAGCUCCAGGCUGGCUGAGGAAGUACUUCAGCAACAUAGAGCAGACCUCCAGCGCUGGCCGAGCUGCUGCUGCUGCUUCCCGCCGGCAACUUUAUCUGGGGAUAAAGAACAAAGGCAAGAGAGAAGGGGAAGGAAGGAAGGAAGCAGGGAGCUGCCUCCUGCCACCUUCUAACAUCAAAUGGCUGCAGGACAUCAGCCUGAGAACCCUUUGAAGUGUGAUUCUUACAAACUACUAAAGUGGGCAAAAACUUUUUUAUUUAAAACAAACAAAAAGUUAAAUCAAACUAACAUCAGCGUUGGGAAUGUGCAGCGAUAAUCCCUGAGUGGAAGCCAAGCCCUUCUGAGUCCAGCAGAACACCCAUGGCUUCCCACCCCGUGGAAGGGGUGGAAAGGAGAACAGCUAUGUAUGUCCUUCGUGACUUUUUUCCCAAUCCCAAGGCUUUCCAGUGGUUUGCAAGCCUUGCCAAUCAUUUGUAAUGCAGGCAACUGGAUCACCUCUGCAGGCAACUCUGGAUCACCUCUAUAGCCAGGCACAUAGAACAGGGAGGCUAGCAAAACAAGAGCCAACCCCAGAACAAACUCCUUGGAGUACAGGCAUGUUUCAGCAGGGCAGGGAUUUCCCAUAGGAAUGAUAGGUGUGCUAAUGUGGAUAUUGAUUUAACUUUUUGAAUUAACCUGACAUACUACUGCCAUGCAAAUAAACGCCAUAUGUUUGUACACAGGCUGAAUUCAAUCAUAAGCUCAUAAUGCAAAUAAAAUCAUAAUGCAAAUGACUGUCACACAGUAAGCCCUUGGAUAUAUGUGCAAAAAGUACCGUUGCAAUUAAAAUGUGAGAUAUUAAUUCAGAAAGUAGACUGAUAAUGAGUAAUUUGUUCACUGAAUUAACUAACCUGCUAGCUACACGAACGAGUGGUAAUUACAGGUAUCAUGAAACGGAGUCACACUGCGUAGCUGCGCUAUAAUUAUAUUUGCUGUAUUAAAGUGUGACCCUGGUAUUACAAUGAGAAACGAGAUGAAAAGCAGGAGAAAAAUCCCAGCUCAGGAACCAGGCAGGUGGAACAAAGCCACAAUGGUGCGCAGAAAGCUACUUUUACUGACUUCACAGCUCCCUGCCAAAGAUAUACACUGCACACAUCUCCGGAGUGACAGAGGAAUCACACAGGUUUGUACUGGUAUUGCACACACACACUGCUCUGGCUUAGUAUCAACCCUGGAAUCACUGCUUUGUGCCAUUACCAGUGACAGGCAAACUCCCUAACAGGAGUAAACUGUCAGUUGUACAAAUCCCAUAUUUUCCCUGCAGUAUAUUUGGUCCUGGCAGACUUGUUGUUGAAUGCACGUACAUCAGGCUGGUGCCAAUGCACUCUCCUCCCCCUGGACCAUUCUGCCUAAAGCUAAAAAGUUGGAAGGAAGAGGAGAGACUGUUUUAGCUGGGCUUAUGGUUGCUGGGUUUUUAUAUAUUGCUUUUCAAGUGGCAAAGCUUGCUGAUUAGCUCUGUGACCUUUCCAGUGCCCAGUCAGCUCAGAAGAGGCAUGGGAAACACGCUGAGGAAAAGAGCUGGGAGGAAAGAAAGCAUGGGAAAGUAGCCAGAAAAACAAAACAAACAAAACAAAAAAAAGAGUGGGAGAAGGAAAUGUAGGGAAUCUGUUCAGAAGAGCAAAGAAUAUGUCAUAAUAGUACUUACAGAUGCCCCCUCUGGCAAAUACACAUCUCCAGUGGCAGGCCUGACACGUUUUGUCUUUAUUCCCAAACCUGAAAGGAGUAAGACCUGGUUGAACUUGUGUAACACUGCCAUCCAGUGCUGCGAGUGUGCCCCAGGCUGCAGCUGCACCUCUGCACCCUGAUCUGUCCCAUCCCAGGGCAAGGCCACCACCCUAGUUGGGCCCAGGUGUCACCAUCCUCAGAGCCAUGUCCCAUGCUGUGGUCCCCUGCCCACAGACACCCUGGCAGGUCUCCAGCCUGUGGGAGGAGCAGGAUCUGGAGGGCUCAGCCAUCCUCCAUCACUGGAACACCUGGAACAUCACAGAUCACAUCAGUGAACCCUCCUGGAAAGCCUCUGAGCCAGGUUAACCCUCCUCUAACAACUCAGGAGCUUCCUUUAAAGUGAAGAUUAUAAAAACAGCUCUGUUAGAUUAGGUCAAAAGGCUAGAGAUUUUAGACUCACUGAUUGUAUUGGCUGGAGUAGUCAGGAAGGGCAGUUUGUCACCAUCAUCUUCUUUGCCACAAGAUCACCCAAAGGAAUAAGGAAGUGAACCCAUCCACUUAUUUCCCCCCCCUAUUCUCCAGAUCUUUAACAGUCCAAGAAGGAAGACUUCUAUGCUAAAUACACCAACAAGUAGUUGCAUGCCCUUGGGCUUGAGAAGCAAUAUGGGGUAGCUGGUGUCCUCCUUUCUGGAAGGGGGACACUGGUGCUCAGCCCACAAGGCAGAUAGAAUCGCAGACCACACAUGAGGAUGUUGGCUGGGUUUUCCUCUAAUGGUCACCACAGUUAAAUUUGACGAGAGACAAAUUUCCUAAGUUUUAGAAAAAUAAAGUUUAAACUUCUUCAAGCAGCCAGAAGGGAUAUUCUCAGACAUCUUUCAGUCUUGACCUGAUUUUUCUUGUUUUUUUUUUAGGUGGCUACAAAGAUCUGACUAAUGUUUUGAGACCAGUUUUAUUUCAAGACCUCUCUCAUAAUAAAUAUCGUAGGUUGAUUAACACAACCCCAAAUAAGUUACAUGCAAAAGCCUCAACAUAUGCAAAGAUAAUCUUUGUCUUUCUCUUGCUUAAUAGCACAGCUUUUCUUUUUUUGUGAUGCUUCUUCAGAGUUUUGUGCAAGCCUUUCCCAUGCCAGCUCAUUCCCUUUUAUAGAGAAACAAUUUUCUUCUGGAUCCAUUUAUCAACUUUCAUCACAGAGAUGUCUGGAACUUCUUCACUACUAACUAAAUUGAUAAAUUUGCUUCUGAAUAAUCACAAAAAUAGCUUCCUUCAACUGAACAGCAGCAGAAUGGACUGCAAUGAAUCACAGAAAUAGAUCUGUUGGCUUUUGAACAUGCUUCAGCAGGAAAACUGCAGCUGAGUUCGAUAAAAUACAGUCACUUUCUCUGCUGACAUGCAUAUUCGGGACAAAAUCUGCCUUUCAAACCAGGUGAAUCUGAAAGGAAACCUUUGAAGUAAAACAUAGAAUAAUGUCCUGCAUGGCUGAGGGAGCAAAACCAAACAAAUGUUUCUUCUUUAUUUUACUGUAGCUAUAUUUAGUUAAUAUUGAAUGGAUUGUUUGAAAAUUUAAUGUAAGGAUUGAUAGUGGGGAUUGUGUUUUUAUUCUUGACUUGCAGAGAUGCAUCAUUAUUAAUUAAAGCAUACUGUACCUUCUGAAGCCAAGCGUACAGCACAGAGUAUUUUCCAUUUCUUUACGUUUAAAGUUUUUUAAUUAAAUUUCUGGAAUAUGCACAGUAAUAACAUUGUUUUUGCAAAAAAAAAAAAAAAAAAAAAAAAGCUUCUAACUGUUCAUUGAUGUAGGUGGAAGGAUACAGUAAUUCUUUUUACCUAGGAAAGUAAGCCCCAGAAGUUUGGCUUUGAUUAUCUGUUGCUUCUAGGCAUUAGUUUUGUCUUACUCUGUGGAAAAAACAUUAAACUCCAGAAUUCUUCCAGAUGAGCUUAAAAUCAAAAUCUGUUGGGAAGAGAUCUAUGUUCAGUUUUUUAUGUUGCUUCCACUUGCUCAGAUAACACGCAGCCAUCACUUCUCAUUUCUGAUAAUUAGAAGUCCCUCUUUUGGUCUUCAGUAGCAAAGGAGCACAGCACAGAGCAUCACCUCUGUUGGCCUUUCAGCACCAGCCUAAUCUUGAAUACAUGAACUAAGCUCUCUGUGCUUAACUAACAACCUUUUAGAUGAGGAUAAACACCAGAAUCAAAAGGUUGUUAUGAGAAUUAUGUGCAUUCCUUUAGAAAAAAUUAAACAAACAACAUUUUUCAAAUGCAGAUCACUACCAGCAGCAUGCCAGAGGGUCACUGUCCUAGAGUUCCUGGUUUCCAAGUUGGAAGAGCCUCUCUGCUUGGCCAGCUCAGCAGCACAACAUUAAGGAACAACCACAGUGACCUCUGAUACUUCGCAACUACAAACAAAAACACCAAGGAACGACUGUGGUCUUAAUACAAAUACAUAUGGUGACAUACAACGAUGACAUAGUAGUGAUGAGGUGAAAAUCCUCAUUCACAGAGAGCUCAGCUUUAAGGCCUAAAAUGCAAACUGUGCGUUUGUAUAACAGAGGGUUGCUGGGCCCUGUUAGUACCAGCCAAUUAUGGCGCCGCUGUCAGUGUGGGCAGUGAAACCUGCUGGCUUGGUUUCCAUCCCUGCUGGCAUCCUUAUCCCUGCUGGGAAAAGUGCAGGAGAAAAAAAUUAUUUUAAACAUGAAGGUGGGCCCUCCUGUUUUUAGGUUCUCAACAUUAGCACCUAGGUGGGAACGGAUUAACAGAAGCAACACCUCUCCAAAAGCCUGGUGUGUGAAACAGCCCAGCUGGGCAACAGGCAGGGGACUCAAAGACUGGUCUUAGCUGAAGGCCAGGUUGGGCCCUCACCCAGGGCAACAUAUUGAUGGGGAAGGGAAGAGACACAGCACGAAGGGGAGAUCCUCAAAGGUCACAGCAGCUGCACCUUAGCAAACUGGGGUCCUCCAAACAUAUCAUAAAAAUGAGUCUUGCACAUAAGUGAUUUCUUUUAACCAUUCUUCAAAGGCUAUUGCUUGCUGUUCCCCACCCUGUGCUCCCAGUAUAGUACUGUAUUCCACACUCAUCAUCCGCAGAAAUCCAGAUUUUCUUACUCAUCUAUCUAUUAGCCCUUAAAGUCUUUUGGUGCCAGAAAUGCUCCCAGUUCAAUAACACAAUUGCAUUGAAGGAGACUGUAACAGAGGAAAACAACUAAGUUUCUCUGAAGUGGAAUCAAUUUGCAGCAGAUUUAUGUACUUCAACUACGUGCAGCACUUGCCUUGUAUCCAGGCACAGAGUCAUAGAAGGUUGUGAUGGAAAGUCCCAUUCAUUUCCAUCAGUCAUUUCUCUGAGGUCUGGGGGAGGAAUGCUACCCACAGUACAUCUUUGAGGCCAUUGUCACAUGCAUUUCUAAACUAAACCAUCUUCCGCUGUUGAGCAUGAACUUUAACAGACAGAAGAAGAGCACUGUGGGGAAUUUUAGGCCUCACUUUACUCAGAUAAUUAAUAUCAUAUAAUGCUGUCUCCCCGUUGCCUCCCUUCCUGCAUAGUUAUACAGGCUAAAUCUACAGAGAGAUUUUUUACUUCAUUCAAAAUGCAAAUCCUCAGAGCCCCUUUUUCAUCUGCUGCCUGAUUUUGGAGCUGGCUAAAUUCCCAUGACAUCUAAGAUCCCAUCCGUAAAACUCCCUGGUUGCCUAUGUUUCUGCCUCUGGGCCUGCCCAAAUAUACUCAAGCCCUGACAACACUGAAUAUCUCAAUAUUUCAGUCCUACAGGGAUUCACAGAUAAGGCAUUCCUCUUCCAGCAGCUGUAGCUGCUAACUAGAAUCCUGUAGGGAUUUCUACAAUGGAGAGCUAGCACAGGCCAUACCUGCAGGCAGAGGAUGGUGGGGCAGCAAUAAACUGCCAUUGCUUUAAUAAAGAAGAGUGGGGAUAAAGAUGGGGAAAGUAUUUCAGAA